GGGACGGUGAACGUCGUGGGAUCAGUUGCGAGCUGAGAUAGCAGAGCCGGAAAUUCGACGAAGAAAUGAAUUGUUACGGAACCUGCGAGCGCACAUGAGCCGUUCGCUGUACCAGCGGGGCAAGGCAUGUUGGCUGAUGUUGCAAGGCUAUAUUAGCGAAUCAUCCAGACUGUUGGC